UACAGAGGUCCCAAGCGUUGUUCGGAUUCACUGGGCGUAAAGGGUGCGUAGGCGGUCGGGUAAGUCUGAUGUGAAAUCUCACAGCUUAACUGUGAAACUGCAUUGGAUACUAUUCGGCUUGAGAGUUGGAGGGGGGACUGGAAUUCUUGGUGUAGCAGUGAAAUGCGUAGAUAUCUGGAGGAACACCGGUGGCGAAGGCGGCAUCCUGGACCAAUACUGACACUGAGGAGCGAAAGCCAGGGGAGCAAACGGG
rnacentral:rRNA from 1 species